UUCUGUAUUGUCUAUAUCCUUUGCUUCGAGACCAGGAGGAAGCUUCCAAUCAAAGCUGUGGAGGAGUUGAGCUAAAGCAAUUUCAACGGUUGCGACUCCAAAUGUGAUGGCUGGGCAGCUUCUUCUACCCGCUCCAAAUGGAUUUUCCCACAGUUCUGGAUCCCUCCCCAUUCCCCAGACAUUGACAUAAAUCCGAGUUUUAGCUGGAAUGUUGUAGCCAUCAAUUACAACAUCUUCUAAAGAUUCCCUUGGGACUAAAACUGGAGCGGCAGGAUGUAACCGGAAGAUCUCUUUGAUAACAGCUUUCAUGUAGUUCAGCCGGGGCAGAUCACUCUCUUGCACCACUCUUCUGUCUCCGACAACACUUCGUACUUCAGCUUGUGCUUUCUCCAUGACAUGAGGAUUCAUGAUAAGCUCUGUCAUUGCCCAAUCAAGGGUUAUGAAGGUGGUAUCUGUUCCUGCAGCAAACAUGUCCUGCAACAAUAGAACAAUAAUUAUACCCUUUAGUUGUAAAUUGUGUGCAAAUGAACUCAUCUACAAGUAAUUUGAUGCUUGGACCACUGAAGUUGAAGUCUUGAAGGUAUAACUAGACCAAUAAAAUCUUCACUGACCAAGAUGACAGCUUUAAUGUUA